rnacentral:rRNA from 1 species
GGUUAAGCGACUAAGCGUACACGGUGGAUGCCCUGGCAGUCAGAGGCGAUGAAGGGCGUGCUAAUCUGCGAUAAGCGCCGGUAAGGUGAUAUGAACCGUUAUAACCGGCGAUACCCGAAUGGGGAAACCCAGUGUGACUCGUCACACUAUCAUUAACUGAAUCCAUAGGUUAAUGAGGCGAACCGGGGGAACUGAAACAUCUAAGUACCCCGAGGAAAAGAAAUCAACCGAGAUUCCCCCAGUAGCGGCGAGCGAACGGGGAGGAGCCCAGAGCCUGAAUCAGCAUGUGUGUUAGUGGAAGCGUCUGGAAAGGCGCGCGAUACAGGGUGACAGCCCCGUACACAAAAGCGCAUGUGCUGUGAGCUCGAUGAGUAGGGCGGGACACGUGGUAUCCUGUCUGAAUAUGGGGGGACCAUCCUCCAAGGCUAAAUACUCCUGACUGACCGAUAGUGAACCAGUACCGUGAGGGAAAGGCGAAAAGAACCCCGGCGAGGGGAGUGAAAAAGAACCUGAAACCGUGUACGUACAAGCAGUGGGAGCACAGGUUUACCUGUGUGACUGCGUACCUUUUGUAUAAUGGGUCAGCGACUUAUAUUCUGUAGCAAGGUUAACCGAAUAGGGGAGCCGGAGGGAAACCGAGUCUUAACUGGGCGUUAAGUUGCAGGGUAUAGACCCGAAACCCGGUGAUCUAGCCAUGGGCAGGUUGAAGGUUGGGUAACACUAACUGGAGGACCGAACCGACUAAUGUUGAAAAAUUAGCGGAUGACCUGUGGCUGGGGGUGAAAGGCCAAUCAAACCGGGAGAUAGCUGGUUCUCCCCGAAAGCUAUUUAGGUAGCGCCUCGUGAACUCAUCUCCGGGGGUAGAGCACUGUUUCGGCUAGGGGGCCAUCCCGGCUUACCAACCCGAUGCAAACUGCGAAUACCGGAGAAUGUUAUCACGGGAGACACACGGCGGGUGCUAACGUCCGUCGUGAAGAGGGAAACAACCCAGACCGCCAGCUAAGGUCCCAAAGUCAUGGUUAAGUGGGAAACGAUGUGGGAAGGCCCAGACAGCCAGGAUGUUGGCUUAGAAGCAGCCAUCAUUUAAAGAAAGCGUAAUAGCUCACUGGUCGAGUCGGCCUGCGCGGAAGAUGUAACGGGGCUAAACCAUGCACCGAAGCUGCGGCAGCGACACUGUGUGUUGUUGGGUAGGGGAGCGUUCUGUAAGCCUGCGAAGGUGGCCUGUGAGGGUUGCUGGAGGUAUCAGAAGUGCGAAUGCUGACAUAAGUAACGAUAAAGCGGGUGAAAAGCCCGCUCGCCGGAAGACCAAGGGUUCCUGUCCAACGUUAAUCGGGGCAGGGUGAGUCGACCCCUAAGGCGAGGCCGAAAGGCGUAGUCGAUGGGAAACGGGUUAAUAUUCCCGUACUUGGUGUUACUGCGAAGGGGGACGGAGAAGGCUAUGUUGGCCGGGCGACGGUUGUCCCGGUUUAAGCGUGUAGGUGUGUGUUCCAGGUAAAUCCGGUUCACUUUAACACUGAGGCGUGACGACGAGGCACUACGGUGCUGAAGCAACAAAUGCCCUGCUUCCAGGAAAAGCCUCUAAGCAUCAGGUAACAUCAAAUCGUACCCCAAACCGACACAGGUGGUCAGGUAGAGAAUACCAAGGCGCUUGAGAGAACUCGGGUGAAGGAACUAGGCAAAAUGGUGCCGUAACUUCGGGAGAAGGCACGCUGACACGUAGGUGAAGUGAUUUACUCAUGGAGCUGAAGUCAGUCGAAGAUACCAGCUGGCUGCAACUGUUUAUUAAAAACACAGCACUGUGCAAACACGAAAGUGGACGUAUACGGUGUGACGCCUGCCCGGUGCCGGAAGGUUAAUUGAUGGGGUCAGCGCAAGCGAAGCUCCUGAUCGAAGCCCCGGUAAACGGCGGCCGUAACUAUAACGGUCCUAAGGUAGCGAAAUUCCUUGUCGGGUAAGUUCCGACCUGCACGAAUGGCGUAAUGAUGGCCAGGCUGUCUCCACCCGAGACUCAGUGAAAUUGAACUCGCUGUGAAGAUGCAGUGUACCCGCGGCAAGACGGAAAGACCCCGUGAACCUUUACUAUAGCUUGACACUGAACAUUGAGCCUUGAUGUGUAGGAUAGGUGGGAGGCUUUGAAGUGUGGACGCCAGUCUGCAUGGAGCCGACCUUGAAAUACCACCCUUUAAUGUUUGAUGUUCUAACGUGGACCCGUUACCCGGGUUGCGGACAGUGUCUGGUGGGUAGUUUGACUGGGGCGGUCUCCUCCUAAAGAGUAACGGAGGAGCACGAAGGUUGGCUAAUCCUGGUCGGACAUCAGGAGGUUAGUGCAAUGGCAUAAGCCAGCUUGACUGCGAGCGUGACGGCGCGAGCAGGUGCGAAAGCAGGUCAUAGUGAUCCGGUGGUUCUGAAUGGAAGGGCCAUCGCUCAACGGACGGAUAAAAGGUACUCCGGGGAUAACAGGCUGAUACCGCCCAAGAGUUCAUAUCGACGGCGGUGUUUGGCACCUCGAUGUCGGCUCAUCACAUCCUGGGGCUGAAGUAGGUCCCAAGGGUAUGGCUGUUCGCCAUUUAAAGUGGUACGCGAGCUGGGUUUAGAACGUCGUGAGACAGUUCGGUCCCUAUCUGCCGUGGGCGCUGGAGAACUGAGGGGGGCUGCUCCUAGUACGAGAGGACCGGAGUGGACGCAUCACUGGUGUUCGGGUUGUCAUGCCAAUGGCACUGCCCGGUAGCUAAAUGCGGAAGAGAUAAGUGCUGAAAGCAUCUAAGCACGAAACUUGCCCCGAGAUGAGUUCUCCCUGAGACUUAGAGUCUCCUGAAGGAACGUUGAAGACGACGACGUUGAUAGGCCGGGUGUGUAAGCGCAGCGAUGCGUUGAGCUAACCGGUACUAAUGAACCGUGAGGCUUAACCUU